AUGUACCACUCGUACACUCCGGUUCCUGUGCGCCGUCCGCACCCACCUGACGACUGCUCGCGCGCUUCGUCGUAG
rnacentral:sRNA from 1 species